AGGAGAAGCCCACAAAUUGGAUCUCACGAGUUCCACCACCACUCCUCGCCGCCGUCCAUGCUCCGACGUCAGCAGGGCCAGCAAGACGGCGACUUCCACUGGCUGUAAGCCAUCAAAGCUUUGCAUGCGUGAGGCCGGGUUGAUGUUGACUUAAUCAAUCUCCCUGCUGGCGAGGACUUCCUACAGUUAAACACACAUGUCUGGUUAUCAAAGACUCAUGUAGGAUGGUCCCGAGCUCCAAACCAUGGAGGCAGUGGCCUCUUCUCUGUCUCUGUUGAAAAUGUUAAGCACGAAGGAAAGCAGCUGCAUCACCACAAACGCCAAGGAGAAGCACACGAAUGAAUCUGGGUUUCCAUUUUGAAGUUAUAGCUGCUGUACUGAAAGGAAAGGAACUCUUUUCUCCGUGAAAAUGCAAAGAAAAAUAAAUCUGGGUUAUUGGUCACUCACCUGACCCAGGCCCCAGAUAGAGCAAUCGAGGCGGUGGCCAUGGCGCUCCCAGA